rnacentral:misc_RNA from 1 species
UCUCCGUAGGUGAACCAGCGGAAGGAUCAUUACUGUAUAACCAAGGCGCAAUGCCCUUUGCGGAGCCCAAAGGUCGUGUACGCGCGUGUGCCCCGACACAUAUGCAUCUUACCUCUAUCUGCACCACCGCGUGGCUCCCCCUUUUGUUUCUUCGGAGGCGGGCUUACGAAUUCACACAAACUUUGUAUGCUUUGUAGAAUGUACUUUUUGUUUUUGCGACCACGCAAUCCAUACAACAUUCAACAACGGACCUCUUGACCCUCGCAGCCAUGACGAACG